AGUGGUCUGCACCACUAUAAAAAGACAUUAAGUGCAGAGCGUAGAGAGAGUGUUUAAACAUUCUCUCUGGUUGUU
rnacentral:ribozyme from 1 species